GUUAAGAGUUGGUCCCCCUAUGCUGAUGAUCUGUGAGGUACAACAGUAAAUAGCAUGUUAGAGUUCUGAUGGCA
ensembl:snoRNA SNORD28 Small nucleolar RNA SNORD28